rnacentral:lncRNA from 1 species
AUUGAGCGGGCACCUGCACAGACCCCAGGCUGCCUUCUGAGGACUCCAGACACUGCGUUGCUGUCGUUGUUUUUGUUUCAUUUAGGGUUUUUUUCUUUUUUUUUUUUUUUUUUUGGCUUUGUUUUUUUGUUUUUUUACCGACUGUGUGGACUAAGAAGCAAUGAAAUAAAAGUCAGAAUAACUCCGUUGCUUCUGCUUUUGGCGUUUUGGGGGUUAGAGCCAGGCUGUGCUCUGCCAACCUGCUCACAUGGCCAUCCUGCCGAAGGGCUCAACACCCCGUGCCAUGGUGCUGGUGUGCGCUCCUCUUUCCAGCUUUGUCCUAAGACGUCCCCACGAUGUGGCCACCAAAGCCACACAGCAGGAGCACGUUUGUGUCCUCUCCAUCCCCUAAGCACGAAGGGAUCAGGUCAGCACCAGCUGCCCGGGGGGGAGGGUGUCCAUCCAGCUCCACCACCCUGCACAGACAGCAGAACCCUUUCAGUUCUGUGCCCUGAAAUGCCCAGAGCCUGGGGGUGCAAUUAGGGCCGGGCAUAUUGUGGGCAGUGUGUGCAGCUCCGAUGGCUGGCACGGAAGCAUUUUGCUUCCGUUCACUCAUUCAUCUGGCUAUUAAACAUCCGAGCUGAAGCAGCAACUGGUGCUGGCACCAACACAAUGGCUCUUGCAACACUGCAUGUUGCUAGCAUCAGGCCAGAUCCUGAGGCACGAAACCCAGCCGCAUCCCAAGGGGAAGGAGCAGGAGGUGCCCCCGUGCCUCCCUGAGCGCUCAGCACACAGCCUGGCAUUGCUCUGUGACCGCUUGGCCUGGGGCUCCUGGCUGUGAUUCCCAGCUGGGACGGGAAGAUUUCCCUGGGUGCUUGUUGUGGUGUGUGCUGCCUGAGCCUAGGAGGGUUCUCGUUUGCCCCCGAGCUGCCACAUGGCUGUCCCAUACCCCCCCUCCCUGGGCUUGGCACCAUGCACCCAGCAGGAAGGACACAAAGGGCCCUUCCAGUCCCGUCUGUGCAGCAGGUAGGAACACAGGUGG